rnacentral:rRNA from 1 species
UACAGAGGGGGCAAGCGUUGUUCGGAAUUACUGGGCGUAAAGGGCGCGUAGGCGGCCUGUUAAGUCGGACGUGAAAUCCCUCGGCUCAACCGGGGAACUGCGUCCGAUACUGGCGGGCUUGAAUUCGGGAGAGGGAUGUGGAAUUCCAGGUGUAGAGGUGAAAUUCGUAGAUAUUCGCAAGAACACCAGUGGCGAAGGCGGCUUACUGGUCCGGUUCUGACGCUGAGGCGCGAAAGCGUGGGGAGCAAACAGG